ACGGAGGAGAAUUAGACCAGCAAAAGAUGCCGAGGACCAUGUUAUCAAUGCCACUGAUAAGACCGACGCACUGGAGGCUAGAUACAUAAAUGAUCAUAAAGGUCGUGGAGUGUUUGCAUUGGCUCCUUUUAAUAAAGGAGAUUUUGUUGUUGAAUAUAGGGGGGAAAUGAUUGCUUUAAUCGAAUCUGAACGCAGAAGAGAGGUCAAUCAAAAUACUGUGUUUAUGUUUGACUUCAUCUGGCAAAACAAGAAGUGGUGCAUUGAUGCAACUCAUGAGAACACCACGCUUGGCCGGCUCGUGAAUGAUGAUUACGGGAAUCCAAAUUGCAUAAUGAAAAAGGUUAUUGUCGAGGGAAAGCCACAUUUGUGCCUUUUUGCAGCAAAAUACAUCAUUCCUGGAGAAGAAAUCUCAUAUGACUAUGGAGGAAGUGACUGGCCUUGGA